GCUGCCGAUCAAACCUAGUGUCUUGGACAAAUGGGGAAGUAGUGUCUAGCAAACCAUUAGCUUAUUUCAAGGAGUAACUUAAAGCAAAAUAAUAUCAAUUAUAAUUUAAGUAGGAAUGAAUAUACUACGAUAUUAAGAAUGUGACAUGCUAAAUUCAACGCAUCAUGCAGAUUAUUGAUCGAGAGAGCUUCGACAAACGUUUAACUAGACAGAGAAGCAGCUCUUGCUUGUGUUUUAUUACUCGACAGUGUGGACCAUCAACAUCAACUCCUUACAAAAGACCUGGAAACCCUAUCUAGCAUGGCUUCGUCCAUUGACUCACUAUCAGACAGAGAUCAGUGUUUUCAGGAGCCUGGAAUAAAGACGUUUAUAUGGCAGAAAGUGAUGCAGCUCUUACCCGUCAGGUGAAUCUUAGAUGUUUUACUAUGUAAAGAUGUGUUUUAUAAUCAUUUUAUCAUAAAAGCGAGCAUCACAAUCAACAGAUUACAGUCUUGCAUAACCAACCAAAACCAGUGUUAUGCAUCCUGCCAUUAUAAACCAAUGUAUUUUUUCUGUGGAGUGUUGUGUAGUUUUUCCCCAAGAUGAGCUUCCAUGGAUGAGUCCACCAUUACUGUGAAUGAAGAUGCCAAUGAUCUUCAGAAAACUGUGUCGUAUUGCAAUUUUACAAAACCUUUUUGUUGCUUGUUGUGUAGUUAGCUGUAAAAUUAUGUGGUUUUGGGUGGGUAAUGUUUGCACGCUGGCUGUCAGUUGUAUGUGCAGGCAUUUCGAGAUGCCUUGGAAACUAGGUGCCACCACUCUGGGCACUACGCGACUGUUUAUGUAAUUCACACGGCUUGUGGGUGCUGUCAUGAAUGUGCGUAUGCUGGCUGAUAGUUGUUUUUCUGAGAGUUUGCCUGAGCUAUAAAUUAAUAGAAAUAAUAUAAUUCUUGAAUUUUGUUUAUCUUAUAUUAUUAUUUUAGUGGGUAGACUGGUCACUGUAAAUACUGAUGCAGGUUGUGGCCUUGGUUGUGUUUGUAAGAAUUAAGAGUUCCUGGUUUUCAAAUAUUGUUGAAAUAAAUUAGAUUUAAACAUUACUCAGUCUACUCGCUAAAAUAAUAAGAUAAACAAAAUGAGAAAAAAAAUAAUUCUUUUAUUUCUAUUCAUUCAUAUCUCAGGCAAAUUCAUAAUUGGUUCUGCCCCUGUAGUGGUGGCAUCUCAAGGGUAACCGUGGCAUCUCGGAAUGCCGGCACCUACACACGACUGUCAGCCAGUGCACACAAUGACAGCACCCACAAGCUACGUGAAUUACACAAAUGGCUGCGUAUGCCUCAAAGUGCCCAGAGUGGUGGCAUCUUGUUCCCGUGGCAUCUCGAAAAUGCCCGCACCUACACAUAACUGACAGCCAGCAUGCAAACAUUAUGACAGCAGCCACAAGCCGCAUAAUUUAACAGCAAACUACACAACAAGGGCACAGAACGAGUGCCAAUACCUACAAAUGAUGACACCAAGUGCACACAAUCAGUGUCAUUAUCUAAAAUAACUGAGGCUAACCAGAAGUGCCACCCCUAAAUGACACAAAAACUGUCAGCUGCCUCAGAAAGUCACUGGCAGCUCAGGCUGUGACCAGAAGUGCCACUACUAGAUGCCACUGUCACGAUUUGAGCUUGGCCCUACUGGGAUAUUGUGUACAGUGAAUUACACAAACAUUUUAUGUUGUUAUUUAUCAUUAUUGUUAGUAAUACUAUUAUAAUUUAUAUGUAUUGUUAUUAUUAUUAUUAUUACUAUUACAUUUGCAGGAUUGAUUGCAAAGACCCAGAUGAUUCAACAUGGGGAAUAGACAGUGAUGACAGCACUUCUGAUGUCCCCUCUAUCUGUCUUUGGUUUGUCUGCAAGCAUCAUGUUGUUUUGGCUUGAUAAAAGCAGACAUAUUAUGUAAAACCAGAAUUAUAAACUGUCAGAAUUAUAGAAUGACUGACUGACCUUUUUUGCUUUUUACUUCUAGGCCCACUCAUUGUCAUUACACCUAUUUUAGAUCAAAUUAAAAUGAUAGUAAUAAACAGCACAUGCUAAUUUUAAUUGUUGUAAAUGUUUUUUUUUAUAAAUACAGAACAGGUGAAGCCGCCCCUUCCUGUCCCUUUUCCUUUUACUUGUGUCUGCACCUUUAGGUCUUCCCUGUGAUGCUUCAUGCCAGCUGCUCUGAAGAGGACGCCUGGUCUCGUCAGCUUUUCACAUGGAUCAGUCCAGUAAAGAGCUAUCGGUGUCUCCCUGCAACAUAGUCAAAUGUCAUCAAAACAAAUACAAUUGUUCAUACAGAUAUCACCUUAUAGCUGACAUACAGAGGUGUAUUUACUUGAAAAACUAUGAAGUGUUUUUAAUAUUACAUAACUAUUUAGAGUGCAUUAUCUUGGAUAAUAAUAAAGUUGCAAUUCAUUAUGCUUUAUUUUACAUAUAAAAAAUGUUGUUUUCUUGAAGACAAAUGUUUUUGUAAGUACAGUAUUGCAUUUGAUUUUUAUUGAUUUAUUUACACUGUUUAACUUGUCAGGUGAAGUAUGGCAUGUAAAUAAUUACACUUAACGUUAGUGUUUACUAGCGCUGGGCAUAGAUUAAUCUAGAUUAGUCUCAUACAAAAUAAAAGUAAUUUUUUGCAUAAUAUAUGGUUUU